rnacentral:lncRNA from 1 species
GGGUGUGACUAAACUAAUCCAGAUUUCUCUCAAGGACUUAUCUAUUUUCCUCUCAGCAAAGUGCUAUAACAGAUUUUACUUGUGCCUAGGUUUGGAAGUUACCUCUUCCCCCCACGGAUCAAGACUUUUUGGUGAAGGAAUUGGAUGAGGCAGACUAUCAUGUAAAGAGAUCUUAGCUCGUUUUAAUAUUAUUCUAUUGCACCAACA